UAACACCCCCCCCCGCCAACCCUCCCAUGCUUUGCGCUCUCUACUCUCAAAACCCACUCCCACUCUCGCAACAGCCAGCACCUCCCACUCCCAACCUGCGUGAACCCCUUCCUUCCACCAUCUCCCUGCGCCGACGAACCCCUUCCUCUCACCACCUCCCAGUGCCGCCGAACCCUUCCAGAGUUUCAGUCUUUCACACAGCACCGCCGAACCCUUCAUCCCAGCACCUCCUCGCAGACAGCACCAGCCAACACCAUCGUCGCGGAGCCAGCACCACCCCCGCCGCCACCCACAGCAUCGUUUCUGGCCUCGCGGAGACGCGGAUAGCACCUGCCACCCAGCCACCGAGUCAAGUCAGAUAUGGAGCCUCCAAUUCAGGAAAAUUGCUUCUGAUUGUUCAAUGUAUUUGUUCAUUGUUGGUGAGCAUGUUGAGAACUAUCACUACCACUACUGUUGGCAUAAUGUUGCGAUCAAGUAUCUUUCAUUAAUGGAACGAAGUGAGGUAAUUGUUUCGAGAUGGUACAGGCAGCUGCGGGAUGCAUAAACAGUGAUUUUAUGCAUUCAGUUGAAAAGAGUUCAUAUGAACAACUUUGGAGAACCUAUCAAACUGCAGGAUACAAAAAUAAAAAAUAGCAUAUAAAUGGUCAUGAAAGAGUUUUUGUGUUAUGAUGAUGGAUUGAUGCUGCGCCAAUUCCUCUUCCAAAUGAAUCUACAAGCAUCAGAUCUCCGACUGCAUUGCCUGCUGCGCCAGCUCCUCGUCGAAACACUGGAAAUUUAUAUUUAUUUUUUGUUGUGUUGACUAUUGAACUUUUAAACUUCUUUAAUUAUUGAAUGUUAAUUUUUUUGUCGUUUAAUUUCAUUGGAUCAAGACUUUGUUAGUUAUUUUGUAUUUGUGUUUGUUGAUUUCAACGUGAUGACAUUGUGACA